rnacentral:rRNA from 1 species
AUCCCGGUGCAAGCGAGGUAGGAGUGCUGUUGGCAAAUCCGCAGCACGAUCUGAAGACGUGACGCGUACCGAACAUAAGUAGGGAAGUCCAGGCCCCUGGCUGUCAAGAAAAGCCGCUAUCGUUUUAUAUGUGCCCGUACCGCAAACCGACACAGGUGGAUGAGGAGAGAAUCCUAAGGCCGACGGGAGAAGUAUUGUUAAGGAACUCGGCAAAAUGACUCCGUAACUUCGGGAGAAGGAGUGCCAUGAGAGUGGCCGCAGAGAAAUGGCCCAAGCAACUGUUUAGCAAAAACACAGGUCUAUGCAAAACCGCAAGGUGAAGUAUAUGGGCUGACGCCUGCCCGGUGCUGGAAGGUUAAGGGGAGAGGUUAGCGCAAGCGAAGCUUUGAACUUAAGCCCCAGUAAACGGCGGCCGUAACUAUAACGGUCCUAAGGUAGCGAAAUUCCUUGUCGGGUAAGUUCCGACCCGCACGAAAGGCGUAAUGAUUUGGGCACUGUCUCAACGAUACACCCGGUGAAAUUGAAAUACCAGUGAAGAUGCUGGUUACCUGCGCCAGGACGGAAAGACCCCAUGGAGCUUUACUCCAGUUUGAUACUGGGAUUCGGCAUGGUAUGUACAGGAUAGGUGGGAGACUGAGAAGGUAUGACGUCAGUUGUACCGGAGUCGCUGUUGGGAUACCACCCUUACCAUGUUGGAUUUCUAACCUGUGGCCGUAAGCCGGUCAGGGGACAAUGUCAGGCGGGGAGUUUGACUGGGGCGGUCGCCUCCGAAAGGGUAUCGGAGGCGCUCAAAGGUUCCCUCAGAAUGGUUGGAAACCAUUCGAAGAGUGCAAAGGCAGAAGGGAGCUUGACUGCGACACCGACGGGUGGAGCAGGUACGAAAGUAGGACUUAGUGAUCCGGUGGUAUAAAGUGGGAUUGCCAUCGCUCAACGGAUAAAAGCUACCCUGGGGAUAACAGGCUUAUCACUCCCAAGAGUUCACAUCGACGGAGUGGUUUGGCACCUCGAUGUCGGCUCAUCGCAUCCUGG